rnacentral:tRNA from 1 species
GAGGGUAUAGCUCAGGGUUAGAGCACGUGCCUAGCACGCAUGAAGCCCUGGGUUCAUUCCCCAGUACCUCCA